CUACGGGAGGCUGCAGUGGGGAAUUUUGGACAAUGGGGGCAACCCUGAUCCAGCCAUUCCGCGUGAGUGAAGAAGGCCUUCGGGUUGUAAAGCUCUUUUGUCCGGAGCGAAACGGGCGGCCCUAAUACGGUCGUCUACUGACGGUACCGGAAGAAUAAGCACCGGCUAACUACGUGCCAGCAGCCGCGGUAAUACGUAGGGUGCGAGCGUUAAUCGGAAUUACUGGGCGUAAAGCGUGCGCAGCCGGUUUGAAAUCCCCGGGCUCAACCUGGGAAUGGCAUUUGGGACUGCAAGGCUGGAGUGUGGCAGAGGGGACUAGAAUUCCUGGUGUAGCAGUGAAAUGCGUAGAUAUCAGGAGGAAUACCGAUGGCGAAGGCAGGUCCCUGGGUUAACACUGACGCUCAUGCACGAAAGCGUGGGGAGCAAACAGGAUUAGAUACCCGUGUAGUC
rnacentral:rRNA from 1 species